AAGACCUUACUUCACAGGAUCAUUUCUGUAGUUAGGUUGCAGAAUAUCGUUACAUAUCCCACACGCCCUGUAAACCGUCGAUGAUGAGCGGAACUUACUCUUCUGAGCAGGAAGCCGGCACCGUUAAUUUGUCUUCAGUUGUAUGAUUGAAGACUAUUAAUAGUGUCAUUGAAGACUGCAUCAGGUAACUGAGGGAGAGUAAGCGUUCUGAGCGGU
rfam:Trichinella britovi scaffold71s, whole genome shotgun sequence.